AUUGAACGCUGGCGGCAUGCCUACACAUGCAAGUCGAACGGUAACAGGUCUUCGGAUGCUGACGAGUGGCGAACGGGUGAGUAAUACAUCGGAACGUGCCUAGUAGUGGGGGAUAACUACUCGAAAGAGUGGCUAAUACCGCAUGAGAUCUACGGAUGAAAGCAGGGGAUCGCAAGACCUUGUGCUACUAGAGCGGCCGAUGGCAGAUUAGGUAGUUGGUGGGAUAAAAGCUUACCAAGCCGACGAUCUGUAGCUGGUCUGAGAGGACGAUCAGCCACACUGGGACUGAGACACGACCCAGACUCCUACGGGAGGCAGCAGUGGGGAAUUUUGGACAAUGGGCGCAAGCCUGAUCCAGCAAUGCCGCGUGCAGGAUGAAGGCCUUCGGGUUGUAAACUGCUUUUGUACGGAACGAAAAGCCCUGGGUUAAUACCCUGGGGUCAUGACGGUACCGUAAGAAUAAGCACCGGCUAACUACGUGCCAGCAGCCGCGGUAACAC
rnacentral:rRNA from 1 species